rnacentral:tRNA from 1 species
UGGGGUGUGGCUCAGUGGUAGAGCACUUGCCUAGCGUGCACAAGGCCCUGGGCUCCACCCCCAGCACUGCAG